CAGGAACACCUAUGCUGAUCGUCCGAAAACCUGUUGAGGAGAGGAUAAAGGGGAUGUGUGCGGAGAAGUGCAGGAGGGCGAGGACACCGACCCCUGCUUUACAGCCAUCGUCGAAGAAGAACCGCCAACAGAGACUGUUUCGAGCUGACACUUGGGAUCUCAUAUUGCUCCUUCCGUGCUUCUCCUCCCUGCACCAAUCCAUAAAAGAGAUUUACACCCUCGGCACCAUAGUUGUAGAUGGCGGUGUCUGCAGUUCACUGCCAAGUCUUGUUUAAGGACACCACGCCGAAGCCAACAACCACGAGUACGACCUCGUUUUCAAAGUCCUCUGUGUUAAUAAACCAGGGCUUUCGGUGUUUUCUCGGCUGAUGAGCCUUUUUUUUUUUUGUCCUGUGGAGCAGGAGGGGCUCCAGGCAUCUGUGUCUGUGUGUGAAGCCGCAUUGAUGCCCCUGCAGGCGGCGCUGCAAUCUGGAUUACGUCUUCAGUGCCAAGGCCGCCACCAAGUCUCGCGUCGCCUGCGCCUGAAAAAACACAACAAAAUCAAUGGCUUCUCCACGUAGUAGUAUGACACAAUUUGUUUGUGUCAAGAAAAUUGCUUCCUGACAUGAUAGUAUGACGCAAUCUGUGUCCAGAAAUUGCUUCCUGACAUGAUAAUAUGAAAAAAUGUGCGAUAUGUAGAUUAGGAACAGCUGGGUUGGCAGCGACGAAAGGUGCUUAAGACUGUGAGCUUCGUUCAAGCAUUCAAAAGAUAUUCCCAAAUCAUGUUUGAAAUCUGCUUUGUGGAUUACAAAAAAACAAAAAAAAAAAAACUGGAUGAGAUUCUUCCUGUGUAAGACCUCCUUUCCUAUUCUAGAAGAAUCCUCCCGAACAGAAAAACUAACCCACAACACCCGCCCAGUCUUUGUAUUAUUUUGUUCCUGUUAUGCAGACACAUACUCUGCUUAAGGAGGACUUUACCACGAGACCAAGAUCCGCUCACAGUGAAAAAAAAAA